GCACGGGUGAGUAACGCGUAUCCAACCUUCCCGCAACUGGGGAAUAACCUUGCGAAAGUAAGACUAAUACCCCAUGGUCUCCACGGAUGGCAUCUGAAGUGGAGUAAAGGUUUCGGCCGGUUGCGGAUGGGGAUGCGUCCGAUUAGCUUGACGGCGGGGUAACGGCCCACCGUGGCAUCGAUCGGUAGGGGUUCUGAGAGGAAGGUCCCCCACAUUGGAACUGAGACACGGUCCAAACUCCUACGGGAGGCAGCAGUGAGGAAUAUUGGUCAAUGGGCGGAAGCCUGAACCAGCCAAGUAGCGUGAAGGACGACUGCCCUAUGGGUUGUAAACUUCUUUUAUGCGGGGAUAAAGUUCGCCACGUGUGGCGUUUUGCAGGUACCGCAUGAAUAAGGACCGGCUAAUUCCGUGCCAGCAGCCGCGGUAAUACGGAAGGUCCAGGCGUUAUCCGGAUUCAUUGGGUUUAAAGGGAGCGUAGGCCGCCUUUUAAGCGUGUUGUGAAAUGUAGGGGCUCAACCCCUGCACUGCAGC
rnacentral:rRNA from 1 species